AAGCAACUCAAAUUCUUUUCCCCUCUCUGCGUGCCCACCGAUGAUCAGGAAAGUGACACUAAACAAGUGCCGGCCUUGAGAUAAGGAACGUUAAAACAAUUGCAACUCAUCCAGCUCACAGACAGUAACUAACUGAGCUCCUGUUCCACUCACCAUGACUACAGCUUUAACAGCACAAGAGACUGAUUUCAGUAACUUCCUCCUGACAAGAAGACCACCAACCAUGAACUGGUUUUGGCAAUUUAUAGAGACUGGGCACUUGUGUGCCUUCACGUUCUGAAAAGACCUUUUGACAUAUAAGGCCUAAUUGUAAUAAAUGUCAAUGUUAAGUGUCCACCCCAAAAUGAACAUGGGUUGUAUGUUAUAUGCAUGUUUUCUCAAUAUGCAUGUGUCAGGACCACUGUCACGAAUAUUCACAGCUCCUACUGUAACCUGCUGAAUAUGUAUGUUUAACCUACCUGUUUAGCAUAAAGCUCCUGCUCCAAUCUCUCCUUCUUCGAAGUUCCUAUCUCUGGUCUCUGACCAAAUUCAUGCUUCCUGGCCUGCAAGACGGUAACCUUGCAGACUGUACCCCUUUAUGAGAAAUAUAGUCUCCUCUAAAUUUACAAAUGUGUGACUUUUUAAAAAUUAACAACAUAAAUGUUGAAACUUCAUCAACAAAUGAAGAGAUGACUGCUUUGUACAUCUGCAUUUGUGAAAAAGAAAAUUUCUCAAGAUCUCAGCUUGUUGGGCAACUUCAUAUGUGGUAGUGACCUACGUAGGCUUUGGUCAGUCUCAUCAAAAGUCUUAAGUUGUCUGUCACAGUAGAUCUAGGUACACAAAAUUAACAAACAUUUUGAUCUACUUCUUUAUGAAUAUGGCUCACCCACUCAUAACUGUUAUGCUUGCAUGACUGUCAUUGGUAUAUCUGAGUGUUUAUGCUUGCAAAAAUACACAAGUUGUAAUUGCCUAUUUCAUUGUAUAAAGUUGCCAAUGAAGUUGUGUUUUUUAUAUUCAUCAAGUGAACUCUCUUACUUUACUACUCCCUUUACUAGCUUUAAAAAUGUAAAUAAAU
rnacentral:lncRNA from 10 species